GUGCGUCGUUUGGUUUCCGUGGCUCCCGCAGCUCGGAAGGAAUGCCGGGGCUCCUCUCCUCCGCGCCAGGGGCUGCUCCCGCCUCCAAAGCGGCCGGGCCUGGGCCCGGCUCAGACGGUCAGAGCUACUUGGGCCGGGCCGGGCUGGCAUCAGGGGUUCUAAGGGCCCCCGCCACUCCUGCCUUCGUGCUCCUGUGAGUUCAGUCUGAACAACACUGCGGCUUCGCGGACAGCCUCUCCUGCCACAUUUGGGAACCAUCUGGGAGACAUGGAGAUCAAACGCAAGCCUGAGAAGAAACUUCAUUAGAUCCAACUGGCAAAGAUGAAUAAAUAUGCGGCACACAGGGACAGAACCCUCAGAAAAGCAA